GACGAACGCUGGCGGCGUGCUUAACACAUGCAAGUCGAACGGAAAGGCCCUGCUUGCAGGGUACUCGAGUGGCGAACGGGUGAGUAACACGUGGGUGAUCUGCCCUGCACUUCGGGAUAAGCCUGGGAAACUGGGUCUAAUACCGGAUAGGAGCCAUUUUUAGUGUGAUGGUUGGAAAGUUUUUUCGGUGUAGGAUGAGCUCGCGGCCUAUCAGCUUGUUGGUGGGGUAAUGGCCUACCAAGGCGGCGACGGGUAGCCGGCCUGAGAGGGUGGACGGCCACAUUGGGACUGAGAUACGGCCCAGACUCCUACGGGAGGCAGCAGUAGGGAAUAUUGCACAAUGGGCGCAAGCCUGAUGCAGCGACGCCGCGUGGGGGAUGACGGCCUUCGGGUUGUAAACUCCUUUCGCUAGGGACGAAGCUUUUGUGACGGUACCUAGAUAAGAAGCACCGGCUAACUACGUG
rnacentral:rRNA from 1 species